CAUGCAAGUCGAGCGGUAGCACAGGGGAGCUUGCUCCCUGGGUGACGAGCGGCGGACGGGUGAGUAAUGUCUGGGAAACUGCCUGAUGGAGGGGGAUAACUACUGGAAACGGUAGCUAAUACCGCAUAACGUCGCAAGACCAAAGAGGGGGACCUUCGGGCCUCUUGCCAUCAGAUGUGCCCAGAUGGGAUUAGCUAGUAGGUGGGGUAAUGGCUCACCUAGGCGACGAUCCCUAGCUGGUCUGAGAGGAUGACCAGCCACACUGGAACUGAGACACGGUCCAGACUCCUACGGGAGGCAGCAGUGGGGAAUAUUGCACAAUGGGCGCAAGCCUGAUGCAGCCAUGCCGCGUGUGUGAAGAAGGCCUUCGGGUUGUAAAGCACUUUCAGCGAGGAGGAAGGUGGUGAACUUAAUACGUUCAUCAAUUGACGUUACUCGCAGAAGAAGCACCGGCUAACUCCGUGCCAGCAGCCGCGGUAAUACGGAGGGUGCAAGCGUUAAUCGGAAUUACUGGGCGUAAAGCGCACGCAGGCGGUUUGUUAAGUCAGAUGUGAAAUCCCCGGGCUCAACCUGGGGAACUGCAUUUGAAACUGGCAAGCUAGAGUCUCGUAGAGGGGGGUAGAAUUCCAGGUGUAGCGGGUGAAAUGCGUAGAGAUCUGGAGGAAUACCGGUGGCGAAGGCGGCCCCCUGGACGAAGACUGACGCUCAGUGCGAAAGCGUGGGGAGCAAAGCAGGAUUAGAUACCCUGGUAGUCCACGCUGUAAACGAUGUCGAUUUGGAGGUUGUGCCCUUGAGGCGUGGCUUCCGGAGCUAACGCGUAAUCGACCGCCUGGGGGAGUACGGCCGCAAGGUUAAAACUCAAUGAAUUGACUGGGGCCCGCACAAGGCGGUGGGAGCAUGUGGUUUAAUCGAUGCAACGC
rnacentral:rRNA from 1 species